AGAGAGAGACAUGCGCGCAUAUCAAUAAGCGGAGGAAAAGAAACUAACAAGGAUUCCCUUAGUAACGGCGAGUGAAGCGGGAAGAGCUCAAAUUUGAAAUCUUCAAGGUUCUACCUUGACGAAUUGUAGUUUAUAGAAGUGUUUUCUGUUAGUGGAGUGGCAAAAGUUCUUUGGAAUAGGACAUCAUAGAGGGUGAGAAUCCCGUAUUUGGUCAUUCCUCCUAGCGUUGUGAUACACUUUCAACGAGUCGGAUUGUUUGGGAAUGCAGUCCAAAAUGGGUGGUAAAUUUCAUCUAAAGCUAAAUAUUGGCGAGAGACCGAUAGCGAACAAGUACCGUGAGGGAAAGAUGAAAAGAACUUUGAAAAGAGAGUUAAACAGUACGUGAAAUUGUCAAAAGGGAAGCGUUUGACACCAGUGUUGUUUUUCCGAAAAUCAAUUACGAAUGUUUUAGUUUUUGAGGAGUUAUGACUUCAUCGGCUUGCUCCUUUCUUUAUGAAACUUUCUUAAUGCACUUUUCGGUUAACAAGUCAACAUCAAUUUCUUUUGUUGUAAAAGGGUAUGAGGAAGGUGGCUUUCUUUUCGGAGAAAGUGUUUAUAGCCUUGUGCCUCUGCAAUCGGAGAGAUUGAGGUCUGCAGCGUAGAUCCUUCGGGGUUAGAUACAUUUGUGCUAAGUUAUAGCUUUUCAUAGACAACUUGUUGACUAUGUUUAGUCUUGUAGCUUACUCGCUUACUGCUAUUUUACCUACGCUUAGGAUGUUGAUAGUCACAGCGUGUAC
rnacentral:rRNA from 1 species